AUGAACGCUGGCGGCGUGCCUAAUACAUGCAAGUCGAGCGAACGGACGAGAAGCUUGCUUCUCUGAUGUUAGCGGCGGACGGGUGAGUAAAACGUGGAUAACCUACCUAUAAGACUGGGAUAACUUCGGGAAACCGGAGCUAAUACCGGAUAAUAUUUUGAACCGCAUGGUUCAAAAGUGAAAGACGGUCUUGCUGUCACUUAUAGAUGGAUCCGCGCUGCAUUAGCUAGUUGGUAAGGUAACGGCUUACCAAGGCAACGAUGCAUAGCCGACCUGAGAGGGUGAUCGGCCACACUGGAACUGAGACACGGUCCAGACUCCUACGGGAGGCAGCAGUAGGGAAUCUUCCGCAAUGGGCGAAAGCCUGACGGAGCAACGCCGCGUGAGUGAUGAAGGUCUUCGGAUCGUAAAACUCUGUUAUUAGGGAAGAACAUAUGUGUAAGUAACUGUGCACAUCUUGACGGUACCUAAUCAGAAAGCCACGGCUAACUACGUG
rnacentral:rRNA from 1 species